rnacentral:rRNA from 1 species
UACGGAGGGUGCAAGCGUUAAUCGGAAUUACUGGGCGUAAAGCGUGCGUAGGCGGUUCGUUAAGUCUGUUGUGAAAGCCCCGGGCUCAACCUGGGAAUGGCAAUGGAUACUGGCGAGCUAGAGUGUGUCAGAGGAUGGUGGAAUUCCCGGUGUAGCGGUGAAAUGCGUAGAUAUCGAGAGGAACACCUGCGGCGAAGGCGGGUUGCUGGGCUGACACUGACGCUGAUGCGCGAAAGCCAGGGGAGCGAACGGG